rnacentral:rRNA from 1 species
AGUGAACGCUGGCGGUAGGCCUAACACAUGCAAGUCGAACGGCAGCACAGUAAGAGCUUGCUCUUACGGGUGGCGAGUGGCGGACGGGUGAGGAAUACAUCGGGAUCUACUUUUUCGUGGGGGAUAACGUAGGGAAACUUACGCUAAUACCGCAUACGACCUACGGGUGAAAGCAGUGGAUCUUCGGACCUUGCGCGAUUGAAUGAGCCGAUGUCGGAUUAGCUAGUUGGCGGGGUAAAGGCCCACCAAGGCGACGAUCCGUAGCUGGUCUGAGUGGAUGGUCAGCCACACUGGAACUUAGACACGGUCCAGACUCCUACGGGAGGCAGCAGUGGGGAAUAGUGGACAAUGGGCGCAAGCCUGAUCCAGCCAUACCGCGUGGGUGAAGAAGGCCUUCGGGUUGUAAAGCCCUUUUGUUGGGAAAGAAAAGCAGCAGGUUAAUACGCCGCUGUUCUGACGGUACCCAAAGAAUAAGCACCGGCUAACUUCGUG